UUCGACACACUAUCAUUAACUGAAUCCAUAGGUUAAUGAGGCGAACCGGGGGAACUGAAACAUCUAAGUACCCCGAGGAAAAGAAAUCAACCGAGAUUCCCCCAGUAGCGGCGAGCGAACGGGGAGCAGCCCAGAGCCUGAAUCAGUGUGUGUGUUAGUGGAAGCGUCUGGAAAGGCGCGCGAUACAGGGUGACAGCCCCGUACACAAAAAUGCACAUGCUGUGAGCUCGAUGAGUAGGGCGGGACACGUGGUAUCCUGUCUGAAUAUGGGGGGACCAUCCUCCAAGGCUAAAUACUCCUGACUGACCGAUAGUGAACCAGUACCGUGAGGGAAAGGCGAAAAGAACCCCGGCGAGGGGAGUGAAAAAGAACCUGAAACCGUGUACGUACAAGCAGUGGGAGCACGCUUAGGCGUGUGACUGCGUACCUUUUGUAUAAUGGGU
rnacentral:rRNA from 1 species